CCAGGCUCCGAGCUGUCAGCGCAGAGCCCGAUGCGGGGUCUGAACUCAAGAACUGCGCGAUCACAACUUCAGCCGAAGUCGGACGCAUAACGGACCGAGCCACCCAGGCGCCCCACUGCUGUCUGCAUUUACAGCGGCCACCCAUUUUCAUUUCACAGGCAGGAACAAGGCAACCACAGGCCCUUUGCAGCUGGCCGUGAACACAACUUGCAAAUCACAGCUGGAACUGCCAUGGAGCCGAAAGGGAGCUCAGCGGACGCUGCGUUCUUCCACGUGUCCUGUGCAUGGCGCCAUUCAAAUGCCACCCGAGAAAAUGCAGAAUCUUUUUUGAUUCCUCCCUCCUUCCCUCUCUUUCGGCGCAUCCAGUCGGUCACCAAAAACUGUCCAUCUACUUCUAGACUGAGAUCUGAAUGUGAUGGGCACCUAGCCUCUCUGAAGCACGACUGGCCCCCAUUGCCACUGACAGUUAUCAACUGCAGCCGCAGGCUCUUGAGGGGAAUGCCUUAUCAGAGCAGCACCUUCUGUCUGUUCUCGAUGAUCGACCAUUACCAAAAAUAUUUUAAAAUCAUUCAAUUUAUUUAAUAAAUAUUUUAUAAAAGAAAUAUACAUAAAGAAAUAUUUAUAAAACCUGA